UUGAUCCUGGCUCAGAAUCAACGCUGGCGGCGUGCCUAACACAUGCAAGUCGAACGAGAAAGUGGAGCAAUCCAUGAGUAAAGUGGCGACCGGGUGAGUUACACGUGACUAACCUACCUUCGAGUGGGGGAUAACCUCGGGAAACCGGGUCUAAUGCCGCAUAAUGCCUUCGGGUUAAAGGAGCAAUUCGCUUGAAGAGUGGGUCGCGGCUGAUUAGCUAGUUGGCGGGGUAACGGCCCACCAAGGCGAUGAUCGGUAGCCGGCCUGAGAGGGCGCACGGCCACACUGGAACUGAAACAUGGUCCAGACUCCUACGGGAGGCAGCAGUGGGGAAUUUUGCGCAAUGGGGUAAACCCUGACGCAGCAACGCCGCGUGGAGGAUGAAGUCCCUUGGGACGUUAACUCCUUUCGACCGGGACGAUAAUGACGGUACCGGUGGAAGAAGCCCCUGCUAACUUCGUGCCAGCAGCCGCGGUAAUU
rnacentral:rRNA from 1 species